rnacentral:tRNA from 1 species
GGGCCUGUAGCUCAGGUCGGUUAGAGCGCACGCCUGAUAAGCGUGAGGUCGGUGGUUCGAGUCCACCCAGGCCCA